rnacentral:ncRNA from 22 species
GCGCUCGUGCGCAACUGGCGAUAGGCGACCGGCACGCUGCCGGCGCCGACGUGGGCCACCACGGGGAAGCGCGCCACCCGCCGCGCGGCGGGCGUCAUCCGCCGUUCGCCUGGGCCGCCCUG